rnacentral:ncRNA from 1 species
UGCCCUGGGCGACACACGUGCUACAAUGGACGGGACAAAGGGCCGCGAUCUCGCGAGGGUGAUAUAACUCCAAAAACCCGUCCUCAGUUCGGAUUGCAGGCUGCAACUCGCCUGCAUGAAGCAGGAAUCGCUAGUAAUCGCCGGUCAGCCAUACGGCGGUGAAUCCGUUCCCGGGCCUUGUACACACCGCCCGUCACACUAUAGGAGCUGGCCAUGUUUGAAGUCAUU